rnacentral:rRNA from 1 species
AGCAGCCGCGGUAAUUCCAGCUCCAAUAGCGUAUAUUAAAGUUGUUGCAGUUAAAAAGCUCGUAGUUGAAUUUCGGGGUUCUACCGUUGGUCGGGCUUUGUCUGUACUGGCGUGUAGAAUUUCUACCUUCUGGGGAACCAUCAUGUUAUUAAUUUAACGUGGUGGGAAACCAGGACCUUUACCUUGAAAAAAUUAGAGUGUUCAAAGCAGGCUUGUGUCUGAAUACAUUAGCAUGGAAUAAUAAAAUAGGACGGUGGUCCUGUUUUGUUGGUUUCUGAAUCACCGUAAUGAUUAAUAGGGAUAGUUGGGGGCAUUAGUAUUCAAUUGUCAGAGGUGAAAUUCUUGGAUUUAUUGAAGACUAACUUCUGCGAAAGCAUUUGCCAAGGAUGUUUUCAUUAAUCAAGAACGAAAGUUAGGGGAUCGAAGACGAUCAGAUACCGUCGUAGUCUU